CGUAACAAGGUUUCCGUAGGUGAACCUGCGGAAGGAUCAUUACCUAGAGUUGUAGGCUUUGCCUGCUAUCUCUUACCCAUGUCUUUUGAGUACCUUCGUUUCCUCGGCGGGUCCGCCCGCCGAUUGGACAAUUUAAACCAUUUGCAGUUGCAAUCAGCGUCUGAAAAAACUUAAUAGUUACAACUUUCAACAACGGAUCUCUUGGUUCUGGCAUCGAUGAAGAACGCAGCGAUAUGCGAUAAGUAGUGUGAAUUGCAGAAUUCAGUGAAUCAUCGAAUCUUUGAACGCACAUUGCGCCCCUUGGUAUUCCAUGGGGCAUGCUUGUUCGAGCGUCAUUUGUACCUUCAAGCUCUGCUUGGUGUUGGGUGUUUGUCUCGCCUCUGCGCGCAGACUCGCCUCAAAACAAUUGGCAGCCGGCGUAUUGAUUUCGGAGCGCAGUACAUCUCGCGCUUUGCACUCAUAACGACGACGUCCAAAAGUACAUUUUUACACUCUUGACCUCGGAUCAGGUAGGGAUACCCGCUGAACUUAAGCAUAUCA
rnacentral:rRNA from 1 species